AUAAAGUUAGCAUUCAAAAUCUGAGCCGAAAUCAAUCAGCUUGUGACUUUGUAAUGCCUUCACGACUUGACUGCUAAAUAAGAUUUCAUUGUUUUUUGUGUUCCUUGAAAUGGGCAUUUUCAACUAAACAUGCAUUAUCUUUUAUAAGGCAAAAUGUUGUGUUUGUAAUAAUAGCUGUGAAACUAAGUGGAGU